GACGAACGCUGGCGGCGUGCUUAACACAUGCAAGUCGAACGGAAAGGCGCUGCUUUUGUGGGGUGCUCGAGUGGCGAACGGGUGAGUAACACGUGAGUAACCUGCCCUUGACUUUGGGAUAACUUCAGGAAACUGGGGCUAAUACCCGAUAGAAGCUCCUGCUGCAUGGGGGGGGUUGGAGAGUUUCGGCGGUUGGGGAUGGACUCGCGGCUUAUGAGCUUGUUGGUGGGGUAGUGGCUGACCAAGGCUUUGACGGGUAGGCUGCCUGAGAGGGUGACCGGCGACAUGGGGACUGAGGUAGGGAGCAGACUGCAACGGGAGGCAGCAGUGGAGAGUAUUGCACAAUGAGCGGGAGCCUGAUGCAGCGGCGCCGCGUGCGGAAUGCCGGCCUUCGGGUUGUAAACCGCUUUGGCCUGUGACGAAGCGUGAGUGACGGUAAUGGGUAAAGAAGCACCGGCUAACUACGUG
rnacentral:rRNA from 1 species